AGAGUUUGAUUCUGGCUUAGGAUGAAUGCUGGCGGUAUGCUUUAUAUAUGUGAGUUGUAUGAGAGUUUUUAAUUUUAGUGGUGGAUGGGUGAGUAAUACGUAAGAAUUUGUCUUUAGGAGGGGGAUAAUAGCUGGAAAUGGCUGUUAAUACCCCAUAUGUUUUUGAGUGAAAUGGAUUUUUUUGCCUAAAGAGAAGCUUGCGGUUGAUUAGUUUGUUGGUAGGGUAAUGGUUUACCAAGGUGAUGAUCAGUAUCUGGUUUGAGAGGAUGAUCAGAUAUAUUGGAAUUGAGAUAUGGUUUAGAUUUUUAUGGGAGGUAGUAGUGGGGAAUUUUUUGUAAUGGGCGAAAGCCUGAUGGAGCAAUACCGCGUGAGGGAUGACGGCCUACGGGUUGUAAACCUCUUUUUUCAGGGAGGAAUAAAAUGAUGUGUACCUGAAGAAUAAGCAUUGGUUAACUCCGUGUUAGUAGUUGUGGUAAGACGGAGGAUGUAAGUGUUAUUUGGAAUUAUUGGGCGUAAAGCGUCUGUAGGUGGUUGAAUAAGUUAACUGUUAAAUUUUGAGGUUUAACCUCAAAAUCGCAGUUGAAACUGUUCGACUAGAGUAUAGUAGGGGUAAAGGGAAUUUCCAGUGGAGUGGUGAAAUGUGUAGAGAUUGGAAAGAAUAUUGAUGGUGAAGGUACUUUACUGGGCUAUUAUUAACACUGAGAGACGAAAGCUAGGGUAGUAAAUGGGAUUAGAUAUUCCAGUAGUCCUAGCUGUAAAUAAUGGAUACUAGAUGUUGAACAGAUUGAUCUGUGCAGUAUCAAAGUUAAUGCGUUAAGUAUCCCGCCUGGGAAGUAUGUUUGUAAGAGUGAAACUCAAAGGAAUUGACGGGGGCCCGUAUAAGUGGUGGAGCAUGUGGUUUAAUUUGAUCAAUGUGAAGAAUUUUACCAGGGUUUGAUAUGAUAUGAAUUUUUUUGAAAGAAGAAAGUGUUGUUUGGAAUGUAUAUAUAGGUGGUGUAUGGCUGUUGUUAGUUUGUGUUGUGAGAUGUUGGGUUAAGUUUUGUAAUGAGUGUAACCCUCAUUUUUAGUUGUUUUAUGGAAUUUUAAAAAGAUUGCCGGUUAUAAACCGGAGGAAGGUGGGGAUGAUGUUAAGUCAGCAUGUUUUUAUACCCUGGGUUAUACACGUGCUAUAAUGGACGAGAUAAUGAGAUGUAAUUUUGUGAAGAUUAGUUAAUUUAUAAAUUCGUUCUAAGUUUGGAUUGCAGGUUGUAAUUUGCCUGCAUGAAGUUGGAAUUGUUAGUAAUCGCUGGUUAGUUAUAUAGCGGUGAAUUUGUUCCCGGGCCUUGUAUAUAUUGCCCGUCACACCAUGGAAGCUGGUUAUGUUUGAAGUUGUUAUUUUAAUUGU
rnacentral:rRNA from 1 species